rnacentral:rRNA from 1 species
UUAUACGGGAAGAAACGCACCUACGUGUAGGUGUCUGACGGUACCGUAAGAAUAAGGACCGGCUAACUCCGUGCCAGCAGCCGCGGUAAUACGGAGGGUCCGAGCGUUAUCCGGAAUCAUUGGGUUUAAAGGGUCCGUAGGCGGGCCUGUAAGUCAGGGGUGAAAGUUUGUGGCUCAACCAUAAAAUUGCCUUUGAUACUGCAGGUCUUGAGUCAUGGUGGGGUCGCCGGAACAUGUGGUGUAGCGGUGAAAUGCAUAGAUAUCACAUAGAACACCGAUCGCGAAGGCAGGUGACCAACCAUGUACUGACGCUGAUGGACGAAAGCGUGGGUAGCGAACGGGAUUAGAUACCCCGGUAGUCCACGCCGUAAACGAUGGAUACUAGCUGUGGGGACUUCGGUCUCCGUGGCCAAGCGAAAGUGAUAAGUAUCCCACCUGGGGAGUACGUUCGCAAGAAUGAAACUC